rnacentral:rRNA from 1 species
UACGGAGGGUGCGAGCGUUGUCCGGAAUCAUUGGGCGUAAAGGGCGCGUAGGUGGCGCAGCAAGCGUGCGGUGAAAGCUCGGGGCUCAACCCCGAGUCGGCCGUGCGAACUGCUGGGCUCGAGCACUGUAGAGGCAGGCGGAAUUCCGGGUGUAGCGGUGGAAUGCGCAGAUAUCAGGAGGAACACCGGUGGCGAAGGCGGGUCUCUGGGCCGAUACUGACGCUGAGGAGCGAAAGCGUGGGGAGCGAACAGG